AUUUAGUACAAUUAGGCAACGUCUACUUAGAAAAAAGGGGAGAAAAGAAAAGUGUAACCGUCUGACUCGUUCGUCAAAUGGACGGAGCACGAGAAAUGUAGAAUUCGCCAUGUUGGUGGGGUACUCUAAAGAUGUAUUGAUGCGUACUAAUUACUGCACAACGUGUCCAGUUUUCGAAAGUACGAACGGUGUCGAAAGUUGUAAAACAUUGUUUUUUUCAAUACAGCUUUGAAUAUUUGGAUGUAUGGUAGUGGCCACGUAUCAUGUCUUGGAUGUAUGGAAUGUUUCACAUUAAUUCUCAUGCAGCUUCUACAGAGUGUGGUAAUUUAUUUACAAAUGGUAACCAUGGUUGGGUAUGAGGUCAGGUUUUCUUGUAUGAAUGCCAUUCCCUAUCUGUACUUCUAUUUUUGACAGGUGACGGUUUUGUGGUGUUAGUUGGUUUGAGAGAGAUUGCUGGAGGUCACCUCCCCCAUUUGAUUUCUCCAGUUGUUGUUACUGGUGUUCCGAAGGUUCAAGUUAUUCUAGACCAGAAUUUCUGCCAGCCAGACAUGUUUGUCGGUUUUGCCUUGGCAUUUUAGCUGUGCAGUGGGAAAACAUGGCCAACCCCCAUGCGGGGUGUAUGUGGUUUUGUAGUGAGUCCACCUAAAGGAAUGGACUACCUCCCUAUAGAAGGUUGAAUCGGAGAUGACAGAUAUAGGAAAGCACUCACCACAGUCACUUUAAAGUUUGGCGUAACCAGGCCGGCCGCUAGCAGUCAAAUGCGGUGGGUGACGUUUAAGAGUGUGAUUACAUGGAAUGCAAGUUUCACACGUCGGAGGGAGACGGGUAAGAAGACUCACCGGCAUAUUGACAAUCAGAAUCUCUGUCACACUAAGUCAUUGAAUCAACAACAAACAAUUAGAGAAUCGAGCAAGAAAAAAAAAGCGCCAGUAAAUGAUAACUAAUCUUCAUGGAUUUGUUCUCCAUUGUCAUGGCAACUGGUAUAAAAAAAAAAGAAGUGGAAACCGCUGUUUCACCAUCGUUCUACACGGUUAGGAUGUACUGAAAGAUUAGAACCGUAUCACCUGGGAGGUAAAGAUCAACAUUAGAUUAAAGAUUUAAUUAG